AGAUUGAACGCUAGCGGGAUGCUUUACACAUGCAAGUCGAACGGCAGCGCGGACUUCGGUCUGGCGGCGAGUGGCGAACGGGUGAGUAAUAUAUCGGAACGUGCCCAGUAGCGGGGGAUAACUACGCGAAAGCGUGGCUAAUACCGCAUACGCCCUACGGGGGAAAGGGGGGAUUCUUCGGAACCUCUCACUAUUGGAGCGGCCGAUAUCAGAUUAGCUAGUUGGUGAGGUAAAGGCUCACCAAGGCGACGAUCUGUAGCUGGUUUGAGAGGACGACCAGCCACACUGGGACUGAGACACGGCCCAGACUCCUACGGGAGGCAGCAGUGGGGAAUUUUGGACAAGUGGGGGAACCCUGAUCCAGCCAUCCCGCGUGUGCGAUGAAGG
rnacentral:rRNA from 1 species